rnacentral:lncRNA from 1 species
GGGGUCUUUUCUGGAAUAAAAGGUUAAUCUUUUCUUUAUUACAUGAGACAUAAUAAAUUGGUAAAUCCUUUUAUACACUUAGGGUUGGAUUUUCCUCUAACAUUCAAGGAGAAUAAGAUGUUACUCUUGAUUUCCUUUUAAACUCACUAACAUUUGGAACAGAUCAUUAAAAAUUUGUUUUUUGGCCACCUAGAGAUCUUUUGUUAGAGAUCUUUUCUGAAACUGUGUGCACUGUAAAGAAGUAAACAUAACGGUAGGAUUGUGAAAGCUAUCAGAAACAGAUAUCUAUACUUCCACCACUGGAGGGCAGUACAGGUGCUGUUUUCCAGAAGUUCUGAUGGGAUGAAUUAUGAGAUACUUACUUUUCCUGUUUAAAACUCGAGAAAUUCCACUGAAUUCAGAGGCUGAAAAUAUGGCAAAAGUUAGCUUUGAGGACUCCAUGCCACAAAACCAGAUAUGAAUAACAUUGUGCAAAGCUUUUCAGAACCAGUUACUUAAGGCUGAAAGCAAAGACAAAUAUGCAGAGACUAGAAUUUUGCACAUGUAGAGGGAGCUGUAGAAAGUAGACUUGGCUGGCCUGUUGCAAGUCAAUGGGACGAGGAAAUGGAAUUAAAGCAAGAUCAAACAGCCAAGGUUGCCAGACAACGACAUUAAGGCAGCUGGAAUUACUGCUCAAGGAGAAAAUUGCAAAGAAUGUGAAAAACAUUAUCAGGUGCUACAGAUUUUUUGACUACAACAAUGCAGGAUGGAUACAGAGGCAUGCAUUAUGGCAAAUUCUUGAGAUCACCUGUUUUAAGAUGAAGGACCCAGAAUUUGAAAUGUAAGUAAAGAAACUUUUUUUUUUUUUCGUUUUUCUUUCUUCUCUGUGAGAAUAAUAACAACAAUAAAUGAUGGGGCUUUUGUGAUCUUCUGAAUAGC